rnacentral:tRNA from 1 species
GGCAUGAUAUUUUCCAUGUUACGGCCAUGGGUUUGGGGCAAAUUAGUCUCUUAUGCCU